GUGAGUGGCAGGACCCACUGGGGGUGGCAGCAGUAUGAAGCAGGGGCCACCAGCACCCCAGGCAGAUGGCCGUGUUGAGGGUCUGCCAAGAAUGCGUUACUCCCUGGAGGGAAGUCAGGGCGUGAGACGAGGCCAGGCCGGGGUUAGAUCACUAGAGGCCUUGUGAAUCAGGCUAAGGAGGCCAGCCUGGUGACGGAACUGGUUCCAGACCCACGUCGCCUGGCGUUUCCGCCACACCUCGUCCUGCUCCCACACAUGCGGUCCUCCGGCUCAUCACGAGGGUCGUGCUCCACUGAGCGCGCCAGGACCCGGGGCUCUCCUCCACACAUCGAUCUCCUUGUUCCUGGCUGAGAGGCUCGCCUUCCCGUCUUCAUCUGCUGCCUGGUGACCGGCCCCCUGUCUUGUACUUGGAGCUCGCUGGCGUGUUCUGGGUCAGGUCAUUUCCUCGGACGUCUGUGACGCGGAGUCAACCCGAGCUCAGUUGGAGGCUGUGUAUUCCCCGGAGCGCGUGGCCCGAGCUGAGCUGUGCCUACUGCACACUGGCCGUGUGUGACCUCACUUCAUCGUCCCCAGGACCCGGGUGCAUGGAUGAUUCAUCACCGGACCAGCAACAGGGAAACUGAGGCUCAGAAAGGCGCAGCUGCUCAGCGGCCCUAGAGGAUUGGCCUCAGCUCUACAACAGAGCUGCAGAAGCUCGGCAGCCGCUGGGUAGUCUCAGCACCAGCCUGAGGCACACACAGCUCGUCCCCACGCCCACGCUGCUCUGAGCCACGCGGGACAAGACAAGUCCACGGAUCACACACUGAGCUAUCUCGACAGCGUGAGACAGUGAUGAGGUUCCUAAUGGCUGCGGGUGAGCUCAGGGGCAGGGCCAGCAUGCCCUGGGUGUCAUCCCAGCAAUGCAAAAAAAAAUAAAUAAAAUUAUUUUUAAAAACGUU